UAAAUAAAAUAGCAGAAUGAGCUAUUAAAAAGAUUGAACGAAGAGUUUGAUCCUGGCUCAGGAUGAACGCUGACAGAAUGCUUAACACAUGCAAGUCAACUUGAACUUCGGUUUGGGUGGCGGACGGGUGAGUAACGCGUAAAGAACUUGCCUCACAGAUAGGGACAACAUUUGGAAACGAAUGCUAAUACCUGAUAUUAUGAUUAUAUGGCAUCGUA
rnacentral:rRNA from 1 species